GGGGGCAGAAUAAUAUGUAGGAGACAUAGAAGGGGAAAGACAACCCUAUCUGCUAGUGCUAAACACAAUCAAGAGCAAAUAAUAGUUAAGGGUAUUUUCCGUUUGUUUAUAAUUAUAGACAUACACUUAUAACAUCAAGCUCAAUAAGAUCUGCUUGUGCUUUUUCUUAUCAAGAGGGCUGUGGGAAAUAUAACAUCUGGAAGGAAUAUGUACAUCAGUAACUUACAUUUGUCAGUGAAUUGAUAAUUUACUUAAGGGAACAACAGGCAAUAAUUUUAGUAGCGACAGAAAUCUGAAACUUUGAGUCUAGCAUGGAAAACAUGUUUUCUUUCAACUACAUAGUUCCUAAAUUUAUUGCUGUAUCUUCAUAUUUUUUGCUAUUUUUGAUAGCACUGUGCUCAACAUUACUGUUUGCAAAAGACUAGGAUCAGGUGAUUAACAAUCUGCAUUUUGGGGGCACUAUGCAGUAGUACAGUGAACAGGAAGGUUAUUCCAGAGGCUAUUCCAGUUUAAAGUUUUCAUCAAAAUUAAUACUAUCAGGAAACAAUUCAAGUAUUUGUUAAGUUUUUUGUUAAAUGAUGCAUUUGCUUAUUAAUUGCCUACUUGCACUUUUAGAAUAGCUUUCCAAAACAAAUUAAUUUUUUUUUUGAGUGAAGCAGCUGCUCAGGAUUAAUGUUAUGUCAAAGUUUCAGGCUCCAGGAAGCGGACAGAUGAGUAAAGCUCAACCUCAAAUGUCAAAUGAGCUUUUUGUUUUUACAACAGGAAUCUUUCACAAGUGACUGAAAUGGCUCUGUUGGGUUAGGUAAGAAGAAAAUCAAGGACUUGAAUAUUUUACCACUUCACCAGUGGCUUCUUUCUAAAAAGGUAGAAAGUCUCUCUCCAUCUUUCUGAGAAGCACCCUUGAAAUAUGAUGGAAAAUGGCUUGGCAACUACAUCAGCCAAUUCCCUCAAGGCACUGUGAUACGCUUUACAGGGUAGGAUAGAUUUGUUUAUGUCAUAAAACUGUUAACAGAAUGAAUUGAGAUGCAUGGUCACUCAUGGAACAAAAAUUUUAGAGGAUAUCCUUUCUCAGCCUGUCUUCAUCAGUGCCAUCUUCUUGCCUUCCUUUUGGUUUCAUGCAGUGUCUUUCGGUAUCUAUAAAUAGGAAUGAUAAUAGAUGUACUGUGCUUGAAAUUGUUUAAGUAAACAAA